UACGUAGGGUGCGAGCGUUGUCCGGAAUUAUUGGGCGUAAAGGGCUCGUAGGCGGUUUGUCGCGUCGGGGAGUGAAAACUCAGGGCUUAACCCUGAGCCUGCUUCCGAUACGGGCAGACUAGAGGUAUGCAGGGGAGAACGGAAUUCCUGGUGUAGCGGUGAAAUGCGCAGAUAUCAGGAGGAACACCGAUGGCGAAGGCAGGUCUCUGGGCAUUAACUGACGCUGAGGAGCGAAAGCCAGGGGAGCAAACGGG
rnacentral:rRNA from 1 species